rnacentral:rRNA from 1 species
AUGGGCGCGUCGGGGAAGUGGAUCAAGACGCUGGUCGGGCUCAAGCCGGCGGCGGACAAGGAGAGGCACGCCGGGGGGAAGGGCCGGAAGUGGAGCCGCCUGUGGCGGAGCUCGUCGGGCGGGCAGAGGGCUGCCGCGUCGGCGGCCGCCUCGGAGGUCUCCGAGACGUCCUCCGCCGCCGCCGACGCGCUCAGCUCCGUCGUCGCGGCCGUGGUGCGCGCGCCGCCCAAGGACUUCCGCGUCAUCAGGCAGGAGUGGGCGGCCGUCCGCAUCCAGACCGCCUUCCGCGGCUUCCUGGCCAGGAGGGCGCUGAGGGCGCUCCGGGGGAUCGUGCGGCUGCAGGCGCUGGUGCGCGGCCGCCGUGUGCGCAAGCAGCUGGCCGUCACGGUCAAGUGCAUGCAAGCGCUCGUCAGGGUGCUAGCGCGGGCGAGGGACCGGCGCACGCGGCUCUCGGCUGACGGCCGAGACUCGCAGGAUACGCUCGACGACCACAGCAGCCACGCGGAUCCCGUCAAGGAAGCAGAGACAGGAUGGUGUGAUAGCCAAGGAACUGUGGAUGAUGUCAGAUCAAAGAUACACAUGAGACGCGAGGGCGCAAUCAAGAGAGAAAGAGCAAUUGCGUAUGCUCUUUCUCACCAGCGGAACUCAAACCACAAUGGAAGACCUAGCUCUCCUGCUGUUUCUCUCAAGAAUCAUGGGACUAACAGGAGCAAUCAGUGGAGCUAUUUGGACGGGUGGAUGGCAACAAAACCUUGGGAGAGUCGCCUUAUGGAGCAAUCACAUAGCGAACAGACCAACUCACGUUGUUCAGAGAGUAUUGACGAAAUGAACGAGGUCAGCUCAAAGCUUUCUGAAGCAAGCUCAGUCAAGAUCAGAAGAAACAAUGUCACAACUAGGGUGUCAGCAAAGCCUCCUUCGGUAAUCGCGGUAUGCGACGAGAGUGCUCCGUCAACAUCUUCAGUCACUCAGAUGACCGGCAACCAUUUCGCGACAUCGGAAAGGAGAUCUGACUGUGGCCAGGGUGGUGCACCGAGCUAUAUGGGCUUGACCAAAUCAGCCAAGGCAAGGCUGAGUGGUUCUUCUAGCACUCACAAGCCACCACUUCAAAGACAAGGUUCUGCUGAUACACACAAUUACAGCAGGGGGGCAUUCUCUUCAAUAGAUGUUCAAAGCACCGCUGGCUCCGAGGUUUCUGUUACCUCAAAGAGGUUGAACGGUUUAACUCUCAAGGGUCGAGGCACUAGAAGAAGCAUGGACAAGGAGAACGAUGAUCAAUCUAAUUCCUUCUUUUAG